GAUGAACGCUGGCGGCGUGCUUAACACAUGCAAGUCGAACGAUGAAGCCCAGCUUGCUGGGCGGAUUAGUGGCGAACGGGUGAGUAACACGUGAGUAACCUGCCCUUGACUCUGGGAUGAGCCCGGGAAACUGGGUCUAAUACCGGAUAGGAGCGCCUGUCGCAUGACGGGUGCUGGAAAGAUCUUUCGGUCAUGGAUGGACUCGCGGCCUAUCAGCUUGUUGGUGAGGUAACGGCUCACCAAGGCGACGACGGGUAGCCGGCCUGAGAGGGUGACCGGCCACACUGGGACUGAGACACGGCCCAGACCCCUACGGGAGGCAGCAGUGGGGAAUAUUGCACAAUGGGCGAAAGCCUGAUGCAGCGACGCCGCGUGAGGGAUGACGGCCUUCGGGUUGUAAACCUCUUUCAGCAGGGAAGAAGCGAAAGUGACGGUACCUGCAGAAGAAGCACCGGCUAACUACGUG
rnacentral:rRNA from 1 species